AACGAACGCUGGCGGCGCGUCUUAAACAUGCAAGUCGAACGGCAGGAAGGGGCUUGCCCCUUCUGAGAGUGGCGGACUGGUGAGUAACACGUGGGUGACAUACCUUUUAGUUGGGGAUAGCUAUUAGAAAUAGUAGGUAAUACCGAAUGUGACCGUAUUUAUUAGAAGGAUACGAGGAAAGGAGCUAAGGCUUCGCUAAAAGAAUGGCUCGCGGCCCAUUAUGCUAGUUGGUGAGGUAAUGGCCCACCAAGGCGAUGAUGGGUAUCCGGCCUGAGAGGGUGAACGGACACAUUGGGACUGAGAUACGGCCCAGACUUCUACGGGAGGCAGCAGUUAAGAAUAUUCCGCAAUGGACGAAAGUCUGACGGAGCGACGCCGCGUGGAUGAAGAAUGCCGAAAGGUUGUAAAAUCCUUUUAAGCCUGAUGAAUAAGUACAAUAGGGAAUGAUUGUGCGGUGACCGUAGGGCUCGAAUAAGCACCGGCUAAUUACGUGCCAGCAGCCGCGGUAACACGUAAGGUGCGAGCGUUGUUCGGAAUUAUUGGGCGUAAAGGGCAUGUAGGCGGAUAGGCAAGCUCGGUGUGAAAUGUUACAGCUUAACUGUGAGACAGCAUUGAGAACUGCAGAUCUUGAAUUACUGAAGGGUAACCAGAAUUCCACGUGUAGGGGUGAAAUCUGUAGAUAUGUGGAAGAAUACCAAUGGCGAAGGCAGGUUACCGGCAGAUAAUUGACGCUGAGGUGCGAAAGUGCGGGGAGCGAACAGGAUUAGAUACCCUGGUAGUCCGCACCGUAAACGAUGUACACUAGGUGUCUGGCAUAACAGCUGGGUGCCAAAGCAAACGUGAUAAGUGUACCGCCUGGGGAGUAUGCCCGCAAGGGUGAAACUCAAAGGAAUUGACGGGGGCCCGCACAAGCGGUGGAGCAUGUGGUUUAAUUCGAUGGUACGCGAGGAACGUUACCUGGGGUUUGACAUAGUAUCUACUGCCGUAGAG
rnacentral:rRNA from 1 species